rnacentral:rRNA from 1 species
GACGAACGCUGGCGGCGUGCUUAACACAUGCAAGUCGAACGGAAAGGCCCUGCGUUUGUGGGGUGCUCGAGUGGCGAACGGGUGAGUAACACGUGAGUAACCUGCCCCUGACUUUGGGAUAACUUCAGGAAACUGGGGCUAAUACCGCAUAGGAGCUCCUGCUGCACGGUGGGGGUUGGAAAGUUUCGGCGGUUGGGGAUGGACUCGCGGCUUAUCAGCUUGUUGGUGGGGUAGUGGCUUACCAAGGCUUUGACGGGUAGCCGGCCUGAGAGGGUGACCGGCCACAUUGGGACUGAGAUACGGACCAGACUCCUACGGGAGGCAGCAGUGGGGAAUAUUGCACAAUGGGCGGGAGCCUGAUGCAGCAACGCCGCGUGCGGGAUGACGGCCUUCGGGUUGUAAACCGCUUUCGCCUGUGACGAAGCGUGAGUGACGGUAAUGGGUAAAGAAGCACCGGCUAACUACGUG